GGAAUCUUCCACAAUGGGCGAAAGCCUGAUGGAGCAAUGCCGCGUGAGUGAAGAAGGUUUUCGGAUCGUAAAACUCUGUUGUUGAAGAAGAACAUGCGUGAGAGUAACUGUUCACGUACUGACGGUAUUCAACCAGAAAGCCACGGCUAACUACGUGCCAGCAGCCGCGGUAAUACGUAGGUGGCAAGCGUUGUCCGGAUUUAUUGGGCGUAAAGAGAAUGUAGGCGGUUUAUUAAGUUUGAAGUGAAAGCCCUCGGCUCAACCGAGGAAGUGCUUCGAAAACUGGUAAACUUGAGUGCAGAAGAGGAAAGUGGAACUCCAUGUGUAGCGGUGGAAUGCGUAGAUAUAUGGAAGAACACCAGUGGCGAAGGCGGCUUUCUGGUCUGUAACUGACGCUGAGAUUCGAAAGCAUGGGUAGCAAACA
rnacentral:rRNA from 1 species